ACACGACUACAUUAGAUACCCCCGUAGUCCCAGCCGUAAACUAUGCUCGCUAGGUGUCAGGCAUGGCGCGACCGUGUCUGGUGCCGCAGGGAAGCCGUGAAGCGAGCCACCUGGGAAGUACGGCCGCAAGGCUGAAACUUAAAGGAAUUGGCGGGGGAGCACAACAACGGGUGGAGCCUGCGGUUUAAUUGGACUCAACGCCGGACAACUCACCGGGGACGACAGCAAUAUGUAGGCCAGGCUGAAGACCUUGCCUGAAUCGCUG
rnacentral:rRNA from 1 species